CCAAUAGCGUAUAUUAAAGUUGUUGCAGUUAAAAAGCUCGUAGUUGAACUUCGGGAUCAAUGAAUCGGUCAUGCUUUCGUAUGUACUGGUUUUAUUGGUUCUCACCUUCUAAGGAACCAUAAUGUCAUUCAUUUGAUGUUAUGGGGAAUUAGGACUGUUACCUUGAAAAAAAUUAGAGUGUUUAAAGCAGGCUAACGCUUGAAUACAUUAGCAUGGAAUAAUGAAAUAGGACAUCGCAUUCUAUUUUGUUGGUUUCUAGGAUCGAUGUAAUGAUUAAUAGGGAUAGUUGGGGGCAUUAGUAUUCAAUUGUCAGAGGUGAAAUUCUUGGAUUUAUUGAAGACUAACUACUGCGAAAGCAUUUGCCAAGGAUGUUUUCAUUAAUCAAGAACGAAAGUUAGGGGAUCGAAGACGAUCAGAUACCGUCGUAGUCUUAACCAUAAACUAUGCCGACUAGGGAUCGGAUGAUGUUGAUUUUUUAAUGACUCAUUCGGCACCUUACG
rnacentral:rRNA from 1 species